GAGCAAACCGCCGAUGGCCCGCGCAAGCGGGAUCAGGUAAGGGUGAAAGGGUGCGGUAAGAGCGCACCGCGCGGCUGGUAACAGUCCGUGGCACGGUAAACUCCACCCGGAGCAAGGCCAAAUAGGGGUUCAUAAGGUACGGCCCGUACUGAACCCGGGUAGGCUGCUUGAGCCAGUGAGCGAUUGCUGGCCUAGAUGAAUGACUGUCCACGACAGAACCCGGCUUAUCGGUCAGUUUCACCU
rnacentral:RNase_P_RNA from 1 species